CAUACACCAGAGUUUUCUCUUGCUCUUUUUUCUGUGUAAGCUAAAACUUCACUUUCUCUUUUCAGGAUUCUCACCAUGGGACCAUUUUGUGUUGUAAUUUGGCAGAGGUUCAUUCUGAGUAGGAGGUUUGGACUUGUUUGCAGGAUAACUGAGAUUGACUUUACUGCCCACAAAACAGAGACAGCAGAAAUGGCUAUCCUCAGCCUCUUCAUGACUUAGCUGAAUAUCCAAUGGUUUCUGUUUGUGCUGUUCAAGAACCUCCCACUCUCAGAGCCCUCGGAGGUUUGCCGCCAGCCUUACUCAGAGGACAUUCCAGACCUGUCACUGCGCAGCUGCUCCUGGCAGCCAGCCCUCCACGCAAGGGCUUUGCCAAGGCACUGCUUCUCUGCACCCCCAAACACUCUGCUGAAACAAUGGUUAAUAGUUUUGCACUUGCACAACUGCUAGAUUUCCUUUUGCCUUAAAAAGGAUUUGUUUACUUCAGUUAUAAAAUGGUGUUGUGUUUUUGGCAUCGCUGGCUUUACUCUUGAAGCCUACUGUAGAACCUACCAUUGAUAUACCAUAUUCUACAUGUAGACUGGUGUACAGCAUAAGUUUAAAAUUCAGAGCUGGUGAUAAAUAAUAUUCACUACCAGCCUUUACUUUUAUGCUUGAAUUUUGCUCAGGGAAUCAUCUCAUGGGAGAAUGGUCACUUCCUAAAUCCUUGAAGAGUUUGCUCCAAGUAUUAGCCAUUUAAAGAAACAAAACAAUAAAAAGUAGCUUUCCUGGAAGAGCUUUCUUUCC
rnacentral:lncRNA from 1 species